rnacentral:rRNA from 1 species
UACGUAGGAUGCAAGCGUUGUCCGGAUUGACUGGGCGUAAAGCGUGUGCAGGCGGAUGACCAGGUAGAUUGUGAAAGCCCCCCGGCUUAACUGGGGAGGGUCAGUCUAAACCGGUCGUCGGAAGCAGCAGAGGAGUAGGAAUCCCGGUGUAGUGGUGAAAUGCGUAGAGAGUCGGGAGGAACAACCUGUGGCGAAGGCGGCCCCCUGG